AAGUUGAGCGAGACUACGGAAGCCGGGAGGAUUGGGCCAGGCUUUUCCGGAGCUAAGGGCAACUGCGGCUUUGAGGCCCUGGAGAUAUAAAGGUGAAAAAAAAAACACCUGUUUUUUCCGUGGCACACAGUUCAAUGAAGAGUAGAUAUAAGAAGAAACAGAUAUGGCACAGUGUCUGAAACUGCUAUCAGACGUCUUGCCUCUUUGAAUAAAGUCUACAUGGAAGAGCUGUUAGAGAGAUACUGAAUCCCGAUGACAUCCUUUGAAAUGCUACAUGAAGCUGGGCCUGAAGAUAGAGCUACUGCUAUAGUUUUGGGAUACUUGAGUCAAUAAAUUCCCUUGUUUGCUUAGACAAGCUUCAGUUAGAUUUUAUGUUACCUGCAAGAGUACUAUAUUGGAUAUUUUCCAUUUGCCCUCCCAGAUUCACUCUCUACUCUUCUCCAUCCUCUCUGUGCCCCAGGGGACUGACUGACCUAUCUGGACUGCAUCAAAGAGUUCUUUGUCCCUCUAGCUUCUGGUUGUGUUCAGCCAAUGGAAAUCUCCCUGAAGGCUGAAAUCGGGGCAUUUUUUCCACAUUUAUUCCCAAGGGACUCUCACUGGUAGAUAAUAAAAUGUUGGCUAGUCUCUCUUGCAGAGGCUGUAGAUCUGUCAAGUGCCCUUCU